rnacentral:rRNA from 1 species
GACGAACGCUGGCGGCGUGCUUAACACAUGCAAGUCGAACGGAAAGGCCCUGCUUUUGUGGGGUGCUCGAGUGGCGAACGGGUGAGUAACACGUGAGUAACCUGCCCUUGACUUUGGGAUAACUUCAGGAAACUGGGGCUAAUACCGGAUAGGAGCUCCUGCUGCAUGGUGGGGGUCGGAAAGUUUCGGCGGUUGGGGAUGGACUCGCGGCUUAUCAGCUUGUUGGUGGGGUAGCGGCUUACCAAGGCUUUGACGGGUAGCCGGCCUGAGAGGGUGACCGGCCACAUUGGGACUGAGAUACGGCCCAGACUCCUACGGGAGGCAGCAGUGGGGAAUAUUGCACAAUGGGCGGAAGCCUGAUGCAGCAACGCCGCGUGCGGGAUGACGGCCUUCGGGUUGUAAACCGCUUUCGCCUGUGACGAAGCGUGAGUGACGGUAAUGGGUAAAGAAGCACCGGCUAACUACGUG